GAUGUUUUUCCGUGCACACCAGAUUGUGCACCUAAAAACCCCAUGUGAAAAUCAAUGACCCAGAUCUAUACUAACAAGACUUCCCCACGAUCCUAGGGGCAUGGCCGCUUCCAGGCUUUGGCUUCAACGCAAGCUUCCGCCCGACUCCGGCCAUGCGUGAUCCCGCACUGCGCCCCACGCAAAACAUGAAUCCCCUCUCGAUCCCGCGCGUCGCCCUCAACUCCUGAUUUGCGAUUUGCAAAAAACAUUCUCCUUCUGAUUUCUGGUACCAUAUGGACGGCAGCUUCACAGGCAAUCCGGAGGAGGAAAGAUCCUACAGGAGUUCCUGUUCAGCCGAUCUGUGUCGUCCCUGCACCGGAGACCCUAUCUACGUGCAUCCUAGCCGUCGUGCGCAGCUCGACAGCACCAAGUCCGGCGCGCAGCACGCGAUCUGCGGCCCCCUCUUCAUCAGCGGUAGCAACAAGGCCAGCAAUGCCUGGAUCGAGGUCCAGGCCAACUUCGACCACCUCGCUUGUGACGGCUACCUCUCCUGCGCUGACUUCCCCAAUGUAUAGGUUCACUUGAGUCCCUUCCCCUUUCCCUUCCAGAAACCCCAAGCUUCUUCGACUGAAUGGUUCCUAAUCGCAUUGGAGUUUUUGAUGCUGGAAUGACGGAGUCACAGUCAAAGCAUGUCUCUGUUUCAAGUUCACGACUGCUUAGUCAUGUCCCUUCUUUUUAUUUUUUUUAUUGGAUAGAUAUCGCUUGUGUUAUUUGUUCAUCCAAGUGCAUUAUGUAGUGUUAUUUACAAACCAAAAUUUAUUGUUUCGAGAUUCAGUCCACAACAUUUUGUUUAUAUUGGACUGUUAUCUUGUGACAACAUUCUGGGCUUGCAGCUCUGUAAAUGAUGAUUGGCAAGUAGUCCACGAUCGCCGCUGACCGGUGGCCGCUGAACCACGAUCGCUGAUCCAUCUUGUUGCUGCCGUGGUCGGUGUUUUCCGAUCGCGCGUGGGAGUCGCGGCAGAUCGGUGUUUGCCAAGUCGCGGACGGACUUAUAUAAAUGCCAAGCCUCCUCUAGAAUUUGCCAAGUUUCUAAAAAUGCAAAACCAAUAUGCAAAACUGAUGGAGAGGUAUUUUUGUGAAUUUUGGCAAAAAUCAAGAAUGGAAAAGCAAUAUGCAAAACUGUUGGAGAUGCUCUUACUCGGUUACACAGAUUAAUUCCCCUUCAGGACAUCUAAAUGGAAGAUGAAAAUUCAAGUUUCUGAUGCCCUAAUGCCCAAUGAUAUAUAGAUUUAUUUGUUUCCCUUUCCAUUUCUAGGAAAAAGAAGUACUGCUCUCAAUACUCACAAUAUCGUGUUUCUAGAACUCAUCAAUUGACAAUCUGUUGUAGGAUUCAUUUAUUUCUAUAAUUCUAUUGCAUGAAGCCAUGUGACCAUGAAGAAGGGUCAAAAGGUCCUUGCUGUCAAUUGUAAUUAGGCCUUUCUUUUGUUUCAUUUUUGAAUCGGCAGCAACCCUUGUUGAUGUAGUUAAUAUAUAUGUAUCCAUUGUGAUGAUCUGAUCGCUUCGGAGUGCAGUGUUUUGUAAGGCUUAUUGGGAAAUUGGAGGGGUACUGUCUUUGUAAAGAAAGAGCAUGACGGUGAAGAGCCUUUUGAGUUCAUUGAGAAAGUGUAAAGGCUUUAGAUUAGUAAAGAAGUAAUUGAAUUACUGAUAUGUGAUAUGUCCUUGUAGUUUAGCUUUUCUGUCAGGAAGUUCUAGAAUGAAGAACAAUAUAUAUUUUGAUGUACGCAAGUUCUGAAUUUAAGGUAUUAUAUGAGUCCUUUUAAACAUAUCUUUUUGGUUAACUAUCUUACAGAGUGAUCAAUUAAGUAUUUUGAUUAUACCUGUGUCUAUUUAGCUUAUCAGUUAACUGACACCUAGCUCUUGCCUCACAUCUGCUUCUCUUUUUGUUGUUAGGAAGUUCAGGAACAAAGAACAAUAUAUAUUUUCAUUUACGCAAGUUCUGAAUUUAAGGUAUUAUAUGAGACCUUUUAAAUAUUUUUUUUGUUAAGUAUUUUACAGAGUGAUCAGUUAACUAUUUUUGUUAUACUUGUGUCUGAUGCCUAGCUCUUGCCUCACCAAUACUGAAGAUGGCUCAGUGCAUGUUCAGUCAUUUGCACAAUAAAAUCCUAAAAUCUGUCUGUUGUUUUGUAUUUGUACUGUCUUUCCAGCUUUAUAAUAUAUUGGAUUGCAUGCCAGCUAUUUUAGAGUUGCUAAUUGUGAGAGCAUUUUGUCUGUUAAACUACUGGUUUAGGGCUUCUGAGGAUACUGCAUUGGAGACGCUUUCUGGCAAAGGGAUAAUAAUUUGCUCAUCAUAGAAGGAAGGUUGACCAGCUUUAAAAUUAGCUGACAAAAGUUGUAUUUUUGUUUUCACUAAUGCUGCAUAUAUUAAUCAUUUAAUCUCUGGAUAAUUAGAUUCUUAAUUAGUAUAUAUUUGUUUGAGCUGUUGAGGAAGAAUCAGAAACCUUUUGCUUGAGCUAUCGAUUCUAUAGUUUGCCUAUCUCCUUUUGUAGAAAGUGAAAAGAGGACUCUCCUUUGGUUAAAGUUGGAGUCAGUUUGUUCGAACUGCAUAGUAUUUUUGGAUUUUUCUGUCCAUUCCUGAUCUUAGAUAGGUACAUACAUACUGUAUUUUUUUAUUUCAUGCACCAUGGUCCACUUGAGUGUUUAUACUUAGAUUAGUCAACACCUUGUUGGGUAUGCGAUGUCAUUUUUUUCUGCCAGGAUAUUGCAUUGUCUAUAAAUAUGAGCAACGGGCCGGCCCGGCCCGAUAGAGCACGGGCCCGUAUGGCGCGCGUGCCACUAGGCCAUGCCUCCACAGGCCACCGUGCCUGCCUGAUGGCCCAGGCAUGGCUCGUGGGCUGAUUUUCGAGCCGGCCCAGCCCGAAAAGCACGAGGCCCAAUAGUCCUUCGGACCUGCCCAUGACCCGCUAUAUGAAAAACAUCAAAUUUAAUAUAAAAUUAACAAAGCAUAAGUACAUUACAUUCAAGUCACAUAUAUUAAUACUUCACAAUUCACAUGACACAAUAUACUCUCAGAUCAUAUUUCACUUGCUAAAAUUCAUAAGUUUUACAAGUCACAAAACCUGAUACUUCAAGUUUCACAAAUGUCCUGAUACCGGGCCAUUACCGUUCCUACUGUUAAAAGCGGGCCGUGUUGUGCCGCCCAGCGGGCUAAGGGGUCAGCCCAAGCACGGCCCGCUACGUGCUUCGGGCCGGGCCGGGCCCAGUUAGGAUCGGAUCGUGCCGUGCUCGGGCUGAGCCAAAUCACCGUGCUUUGGGUCGUGCCUUUGGCCCGCGGGCUGAAUGCUCAACUUUAAUAAUUUUCAAUUAUCAUUUAAUUUAUAGAACCAAAUAGCAGUUGAUGUUAAAAAUGACAUGAAGGAGCAGACUGCACCCCCCGCUUUUUAAUUAAGAGGAUGCAGGGCUCGAACCUGGGUCUCCUGACUGAGAGCAAGCUCCAGUAACUAGACACCCACGAGAGCACCUGCAAAUAGCAGCUGAUGUUGUAACCUCUUUGGUCAUUUCAAGUCCUCCAAUACUUCUGCUAGAUAGAUGUUAGGUAAAUUCUUGGGUUAUUUACUUAUUAUAUUUCUUCAAGCCUAUAUUGAUCUUCACAAAGAUUUGUUAGGCCUUGUUUAGUUCGCGAAAAUUUUUGAAUUUCGCUACUGUAGCACUUUUGGCUUUAUUUGACAAUUAUUAUUCAAUUGUAGACUAACUAGGCUCAAAAGAUUCGUCUCGCAAAUUACAGAUGAGUGCAUUGUACAUCCAGAAGAUCAUGCACCAGUUGAUUGUUGGCAGCUCUGAGGGCGGCUUCUAAAUGUAGGGGAGCUUGAAGACCUGCUGAAGACAUUUUGCUGCCAAGGUGUGUGUUCUUGUAAAUGUAUUUCUCUUUGCAUUGUCUUUUUGCCUGCUAAUUUGGUGUUGCGGGGUGUAGUAAGAGUCUUAGCUGCCUUGUGGAAAUAUGUGGCCGGAACAUUUAAUCUCUUCUUGUGUACAUGUAGACUUAGGGUAUAAAUAUAUGGAAAUUACUUCGUACUCCUAGGAGUAGCUACUCCCAUGUCUAUAUCUCUAGACUUACUCCCAUGUCUAUAUCUCUAGACUUAAGAUAUAUCCUACGAUCGGACGAAAUAUAUGUAGACGAAGAUAUGAUCAUAUUAGACCAUCUAGGGGUGAUAUAUAUGUUAAGUAUGCAUGCAUACAUAGAGUAUGUGGUUAUACUUAUUAUAUAUACUACAAUAGUGUCAUUUUAGUAAUACAUUAAAAAAUAUAGAUUUCUUCGAAAAAUUUUCACGUCAUAAGAUCUAGAGUAUCUUAAUAUAAAGUAUAUAAACAUACUCAAACCGUUAAAUAAGUAUGAACAUAUACACAAUGUGGUUUAUUGAAGGUAGGAGUAACUACUCCUAGGAGUGCGGAAAUAAGUCAUGCUUAAUAGCUUAACAUAUACGUCUUUUAGUUAUUUGAUUUGGCUAGUUAUGUGAUAUCGUGGCGUUAGCACGAGCAUUAUACUAGUAUGAAUAAAUGAGUCGGACGCUCAGGUCCCAUCAUUACCAUUUAUAUAAGCUUCUUCGAACAAUUAAGUCAUCUCUAACGCUUAUAUAUCAUUUUUUUUAACCAAUCAUUGUAAACUCACCACCUUAUCCUCCAUAUAAGCAACUCUUGGAGACUAUGCCAGUAUAUCCUGAGAUUGAUGAAGUUAUCAUAAGUAUAUUGUUGUCUACGAACAUAUCAGGUAUUACUAUAAAAAUAACACUGUUAAUCUAGAAUAAAUCUAAAAAAAUAUAAACACCUUUAUUAAGUAGAGGAUUUAAAAUUUCAGAGACAAAAUUCACCAAUUUGUUGGUACAUUUAGCACUUUACAUAUUCAUGUUCAAAUGCAUCUCAAUAGGAGAUAUCUCUGGAUAUGUUAUUUUGUAUUUUUGUUUGUAAAGUAUAUUGGUGCUUUUUUUCAAUGACCAUCCCCAUGGUACUCCCUCUGUCUCAAAAUAGAAGUAGCCAUAGGAUACAUAUAGGUUAAACUUUCUCAACAUUUUUAUCUCUAAAUACAUUUAUUAAGAAAGUAUAUUCAAUUAUCUCACUAAUGAUACUAAUUGUGUACUUCAUCCGUCCCUAAAAGCUUCAAUUUCUAGAAUCCACGAACUUUAUAAAAGAAGCAUCAAUAUCUAUGACAUAAAAUGAAUAUUUUCUAUAAUAAAUCUAAUGAUACUAAUUUGAUAAUAUAAAUCUUAGCAUUUUUUCUAGAAAUUCGAUCAAAGUUUAAAAAAUUUGACUUAAGACAACUAUAGGCAUUGAAAUUUUUAGAGACUGGGGAGUAUUAUAAAUAUUAAUAUUUUUAAUAUAUUUGAUCAAAGUUAAAAAUAUUUGAUUUCUCAAUGAUAAUGACAUCUAUUUUGAGACGGAUAGUGUGCAUGCCUAGAUUUUUAUUCUUUGGAGAAAACGUGCUCAGAUCUUAAGGAUGCGUGCUCCUGUGUGCGAGGCAGCCACAACCACAGCUUGAGCAGCCGCUGAAAAAAAAAAAUCUUGCCGAGCGUAAGGACACUCACAAUAAAUAUUUUAUUAUAAAAUUUAAAGUUAUUUAUUAUCUCGAAUAAUAUGAACUUAGAGUCUAAAUAAGAUUUGAAGUCUUAUAUUCUCUACCUCUUUUUUUAAUAAAUAUGCUGCCACAUCAAUAAAAUAUUAUAAAUAAUAUGUAAUU